rnacentral:rRNA from 1 species
CUCGUAGGCGGUCUGUCACGUCGGGAGUGAAAACUCGGGGCUCAACCCCGAGCUUGCUUCCGAUACGGGCAGACUAGAGGUAUGCAGGGGAGAACGGAAUUCCUGGUGUAGCGGUGAAAUGCGCAGAUAUCAGGAGGAACACCGGUGGCGAAGGCGGUUCUCUGGGCAUUACCUGACGCUGAGGAGCGAAAGUGUGGGGAGCGAACA